UGAGUUAAUGGUCACCUGGGUUAACAGUAUCGCACCCCAGUUGAGGUUUUUAGCUCCAGCUCCAGUCUGCAGGGCUGGGAAAUCGAGUGCCACGACCAGGGAUGGCUAAGAGAACAACGCUGCAGAAGAAAGGGUAGUCUGAAUAGUAGAACAGCAAGCCUAUUCAAAAGAAGAGAGUCACUAACACCUGGGAAGUGAAGAGAGAUUAGCCAGAUUUUAAUGUGCCAUGGAGUCAAUUGACUGCCUCAGUGCUACCUGCAUAGAAGUGCUGCUUCCCUUCCUGAGCAACAUUGGGUGAAGCAGGAUCUGCCCUGGAGAGUCAGCGCUGGCACGGGGACAGAACCGGGGUGUCCCAGUGCCAGUCUAUGACAGGCCCAUCUUUUUGGGAACAUGCAGUUCAGGCAAUACUUGCUCCAGCCUGCUCCCUGCCUAACCAGCUCCUGUUCUGCUUGCUGCAAAUAGAAGUGCUGUCUAGCUGGAUGGUGUCUCCUGGGAUAAACUGGCAUUAAGCAAAAACGGGAACUGCCCAGGAACAGACUGUCCACGCUGGUCAGCGGUGUGAGAGCUCAGAGGAGACAGCACAUGCCCGAGGCGCUGGGCCUGCUGCCAUGGACAGGCUUAGUCACGCCGCCCAGAAAUGUUCCUGAAUAAACCCCCUGGAACCACUCAUUCGGAGGCCUGCAGAGGAAUGAGAUGGAGGAAGACAAUACUUCCACUCCACACAAAAAUGAAAAACGAAGGCUUCACUCACAUCUAUGAAUGGGACCUGCUUCCAAGUCACUGAGGCUGGGUCGACGCAGAUGCCCUGCUGAGCCUGGUCCCACAGUGGAGAAGCCAGCCCUGCCCACCCGCUCCCACAUCACACAUGCUAAUCCCUGGAAAUCAGGGUCCAUGGGCUGCUGCAUGAUUGCUCAGCGCUGACAGCGCUUAGUCCAGGUCUUGUUCCAGCUGGCUGUGCAGGACAAGAGAUUUCCAAGCCUUGGCUCAGUUCUCUGUCUGGGAAGUACAGGCCUUACAAAUAUAUUCCUCACUCCUACCAUCUGCCCAGGAUAAGCUAAAAUUUAAUUUCUGUAAAUACUCCAGGAAAUUUUGCUAUUCCCUUUCAGGGAAUUCCUGAAAGUAAGCAAUCAAAGCAGGCCCAAGUGUGUGGAAGGAGAACACAACAGGCAUAUUUUGCCAUAAGCACUAGAAAAGCCAGUUACAUUUAUGAUACUUAAACCUAGGAACUAACUUUCUGCUUGCAUUUGUUUUUUUAAUCUGAAAAUCCCACAUUUUCUGUCAUAAAAAUAAAGUGUUGAACUGGU